UACGUAGGGUGCAAGCGUUGUCCGGAAUUAUUGGGCGUAAAGAGCUCGUAGGCGGUCUGUCGCGUCGGCUGUGAAAACUCGGGGCUCAACUCCAAGCUUGCAGUCGAUACGGGCAGGCUAGAGUUCGGCAGGGGAGACUGGAAUUCCUGGUGUAGCGGUGAAAUGCGCAGAUAUCAGGAGGAACACCGGUGGCGAAGGCGGGUCUCUGGGCCGAAACUGACGCUGAGGAGCGAAAGCGUGGGGAGCGAACAGGA
rnacentral:rRNA from 1 species